rnacentral:rRNA from 1 species
UACGUAGGGUGCGAGCGUUGUCCGGAAUUAUUGGGCGUAAAGGGGCUCGUAGGCGGUUUGUCGCGUCGGGAGUGAAAUCCAUUGGCUUAACUGGUGGCUUGCUUUCGAUACGGGCAGACUGGAGGUAUGCAGGGGAGAACGGAAUUCCUGGUGUAGCGGUGAAAUGCGCAGAUAUCAGGAAGAACACCCGUGGCGAAAGCGGCUCUCUGGAACGGUACUGACGCUGAGACGCGAAAGCGUGGGGAGCGAACAGG